GGGGGUGCACUGGUUUCGACAGGCAUAUACCGAACAGAGAAGCAAGCCGAGGUCUCCUCGCCUCGUAAAACAGGGGUACUCGCUGUUUAUAUGGCGAAUCUAAUUACGCACUCGCCGCUUAAUUUAGCCGGCGACGUCAAACCGGGGCUCUGUCUCCGGCGCCGGGGCGACGUCAUUUCAGGAGACUGCUUCUUGCGCGCGUGGGCUGUAUAGCACAAGACUAAGAUCGAACAGCCAUGAGAAGGAUCAGGUGGGUUACCGGGCGGCUCCUUCUCAAGAUCAUCCGGUAACUGAGCUUGGAGAUGCUCUGCAAGGUGUGUGUUUGGACGCGGGUUCGAUUCCCGCCACCUCCACCA
rnacentral:tmRNA from 1 species